rnacentral:rRNA from 1 species
UACAGAGGGUGCGAGCGUUGUCCGGAAUCACUGGGCGUAAAGGGCGCGUAGGUGGCGACCCAAGUCUGUGGUGAAAGCUCGCCGCUUAACGGCGAGUCGGCCACGGAUACUGGGUGGCUCGAGCACUGUAGGGGCGGAUGGAAUUCCGGGUGUAGCGGUGGAAUGCGUAGAGAUCCGGAAGAACACCGGUGGCGAAGGCGGUCUGCUGGGCAGUAGCUGACACUGAGGCGCGACAGCGUGGGGAGCAAACAGG